rnacentral:rRNA from 1 species
AACAACGGAUCUCUUGGUUCCGGCAUCGAUGAAGAACGCAGCGAAAUGCGAUACGUAAUGUGAAUUGCAGAAUUCAGUGAAUCAUCGAGUCUUUGAACGCACAUUGCGCCCCCUGGUAUUCCGGGGGGCAUGCCUGUCCGAGCGUCAUUGCUGCCCU